AGGAUGAACGCUGGCGGCGUGCCUAACACAUGCAAGUCGAACGUCCUGUCUCGCAAGAGGCAGGGAGUGGCGGACGGGUGAGUACCACGUGGGUGAUCUACCGUGAGGUGAGGAAUACCGGCGAGAAAUCGCCGACAAGACCGCAUAGCCUCGGUGCAAGCCGAGGAAAGCUCUCUCGAGAGAGGGAGCGCCACACGAGGAGCCUGCGCCCGAUUAGCUAGCUGGUGGAGUAACGGUUCACCAGGGCGACGAUCGGUAGCUGGUCUGAGAGGACGAUCAGCCACACUGGGAUUGAGAACGGCCCAGACUCCUACGGGAGGCAGCAGUGAGGAAUUUUCCGCAAUGGGCGAAAGCCUGACGGAGCGACGCCGCGUGUGGGAAGAAGGCCUUCGGGUCGUAAACCACUGUCGAAGGGACGUAUACUGAAGGUACCCUUGGAGGAAGCCCGGCGUAACUACGUGCCAGCAGCCGC
rnacentral:rRNA from 1 species